rnacentral:rRNA from 1 species
CGAAUGCUGACAUAAGUAACGAUAAAGCGGGUGAAAAGCCCGCUCGCCGGAAGACCAAGGGUUCCUGUCCAACGUUAAUCGGGGCAGGGUGAGUCGACCCCUAAGGCGAGGCCGAAAGGCGUAGUCGAUGGGAAACAGGUUAAUAUUCCUGUACUUGGUGUUACUGCGAAGGGGGGACGGAGAAGGCUAUGUUGGCCGGGCGACGGUUGUCCCGGUUUAAGCGUGUAGGCUGGUUUUCCAGGCAAAUCCGGAAAAUCAAGGCUGAGGCGUGAUGACGAGGCACUACGGUGCUGAAGCAACAAAUGCCCUGCUUCCAGGAAAAUCCUCUAAGCAUCAGGUAACAUCAAAUCGUACCCCAAACCGACACAGGUGGUCAGGUAGAGAAUACCAAGGCGCUUGAGAGAACUCGGGUGAAGGAACUAGGCAAAAUGGUGCCGUAACUUCGGGAGAAGGCACGCUGAUAUGUAGGUGAAGCGACUUGCUCGUGGAGCUGAAAUCAGUCGAAGAUACCAGCUGGCUGCAACUGUUUAUUAAAAACACAGCACUGUGCAAACACGAAAGUGGACGUAUACGGUGUGACGCCUGCCC